CCUAGGUGUUGCAGCGCUCCCAAAUCUGCCUCUCACGCACACGCCGCCGCCGCUGCCGCCGCUAUUCCUCGUCGCCGCUGCCGCCGCUAUUCCUCGUCGCCGCUGCCGCCGCUAUUCCUCGCCGCCGCUGCUGCCGCUAUUCCUCGCCGCCACUGCCGCUGCCGCCGCCGACGUUCAUCUCCUCGACCGCUCCCGUUCAUCCACAUCCACUACGCGAUGCCUCGCCGCCCUCUGAAUCUCACCGCAUGCUCCAUCUCGCCGCUCCCCUAGUUCCCUGCAUCUGCUCGCUGCUCCCCAUUGACCCGAAGGCGGCUACCACCACUCAUGGCUCUCCUCUCAAGGACGCCGCUCCCUAUCCACCUAAAGGCCGCCAGCAUUCACGCCUCCCCCCUCCCCCGCCCCUCCCCCCAGUUCCUUGUUCCUGCUCGCUGCUCCCCAUCGACCUGAAGGUCGCCGACCACUCACGCAUCAUCCGGCUGGUGCCCCUCUGUUGUAUUGCUGCUCGGACUUACUCCACCUGGUGCCUUGACGAGCGAUCUACACUACCGGCCGCCGCUCCUCUGUCGGGCUGCUAUGUACACACCGGCCUGCUGCACGGACCAGUGAUAUCUGCCACCUGACGCAGCUCCCCUGACGUGUUGCUGCUUCCGCCCAAGUAAUUGCUGAAAUUGAUGUUUACUACAAGUCAAGAAUGGAUAGAGGAUGGAUGGACGGGGCUAGGACCACACCACCUUAUGUACAGGGAGUUAAUGGAUUUGUAGAGUUUGCAUUUGCCCAUUCAGCAAAAGGAAAUAAGAUCUUAUGCCCCCGCAAAAAGUGUGGUAAUUGUUCUUGGAGAAACAGAAACACUGUUUUUGAGCAUUUGAUCUGUAAAGGAUUCAAACAUGGAUACAAAUUGUGGUUAUUUCAUGGGGAGUCAUCAUCUAGUCAUGCACGUCAUAUUGCUAGUACACAUGAAGGGCUAGAACAUAUUGCAGAAAAUCAUGAUGAGAUGGAUGAAAUGCUUAGAAAUAUUGGUCGUGGUAAUGGCAGGUGAUAUCGGGGGUCGAGAUGUGGAUGCUGAUCUAGGGGAUGAUGACCCUAGUGUUGAUGCUGAAGGAGUUAAAAAAAGGCUAAUGAAGGGGUUAAUGAUGCAGGGGUGGCAAAUUUUUACAAGUUAGUUGAUGAUGCUAGUCAAGAUCUGUAUACUGGGUGCAAAAAAAUCUCAAAAUUGAAUUUCAUAGUUCGGUUGCUCCAUACUAAAUUCCUUGGAGGAUGGAGUGACAAAAGCUUUGAUAUGUUACUAGAGUUGCUUGGAGAGGCUUUCCCUGAUGGUUGUACUCUGCCAAGGAAAUUCCAUGAAGCAAGAAAGUUAGUUAAACAUAUUGGUCUGGGAUACAUAACUAUCCAUGCUUGUGAACAUGAUUGCAUACUGCUUUGGAAGCAGCAUCUAAACAAACAGAAGUGCCCAGUUUGUAUUACUUCUAGGUGGAAAAUGGAAAGGACUAGCCUUGAUGUGAAACGUGUUAUCCGAGUUCCUAGGAAGGUCCUUAGAUAUUUCCCAAUUAGGGAACAUCUCCAAAGGUUGUUCCUCAACCCAGAGAAGGCAGCUAAAUAUGAGGUGGCAUGAUGAAGAGCGCACAAAAGAUGGAUUGCUUAGGCAUCCAGCAGAUUCUCCUAACUGGAAACACAUUGAUGGUGAACAUCCUGAAUUUAGUGGUGACAGUCGCAAUGUUAGAUUAGCAUUGGCAACCGAUGGCUUCAAUCCUUUUGGGUCUUUGCAUAGUAACCAUAGCACUUGGCAUGUUCUUCUGAUUCCAUAUAACCUACCACCUUGGAUGAUAAUGAAACAGGACAACUUCAUCAUGUCCUCUUUGAUUUCUGUUCCAAAAUCUCCAGGUAAUGAUAUUGAUGUCUAUCUAGAGCCAUUGAUUGAAGAUCUGGAACUAUUAUGGCGCAAGGGCAUUUGGACUUAUGAUUCCUCCCAGCGUGAAUUCUUCCUCAUGAAAGCUGCAAUAUUAUGCAUCAUCUCUGACUUCCCUGGAUUAGGAUAUGCUCAUGGUUGCCCUACCUCGGGAGAUGUUGCUUGCCCUGAGUGCCAUUCAGAAACUUCUUUUCUAAGACUGAAGAAUGGUACAAAAACAUGUUAUAUGGGGCAUCGCCGGUUCUUAGAUGAAAAUCAUAUGUUUAGAUUGGAUAAAAACGGUUUGAAGCAGAAGAGGUCAGGGUAGCACCUUCUCCACGGUCCGGAGAGGACAUUCUAAAACAAACAGAGAAUCUGAAUGUUGUUUUUGGUAAGGACCCAAGUGGGAAGAAGCCUACAAAAAAACGCAAGAAAGGAGAUCCACCAAUUCUAUGGAAAAUGAAAUCUAUUUUCUUUAGGCUUCCCUACUGGAAGGAUUUACUUCUUCGGCAUAAUUUGGAUGUUAUGCAUAUUGAAAAGAAUGUGUGUGAUAAUAUAUUUAACGCACUUUUAGGAAUUGCUGGUAAAUCCAAAGAUAAUAUAAAUUCUCGAUAUGAUGUUAGAGAUCUAAAAAUAAGGAAAGAUCUUCUUCCUUAUGAAGUGGAAGGUAAAAUCUAUAUUCCUCGUGGCCCAUACUACUUGACUCCUGAGUAGAAGAAGCUAUUAUGUGAAUGGCUCAAAGGUGUUAAGUUUCCUUAUGGCUAUGCAUCAAAUAUAAGUUGUCAUGUAGAUGUUAAUGCAAAGAAGUUAGUUGGGCUAAAAAGCUCUGAUAAUCACAUCCUGCUGCAGCAAUUGCUUCCAAUAGCAAUUCGAGGAAUAUUCCCAGGAGUUGUCAUAGCACUUAUCUGUGUAAGCAAUUUCUUCAAGAGAAUUUAUUCUCCUGUUGUGCGCAUAAGUGAUAUGCAACAGCUUGAGGAAGAAAUAGCUGAGACAUUGUCUAUUUUAGAGACUAUAUUCCCACCUUCUUUUUUGAUUCUAUGGUGCACUUGAUGGUUCAUCUUCCUAGCCAAGUUCGACUUGGUGGCACAGAGCAGUCCCGCAAUAUGUACCCAGUGAAGAGGUUCUUGAUGACUUUAAAAAGAUAUGUUCGAACAAGAAGUCAUCCUGAGGGCUCAAUAGCUGAGGGUUAUAUAUUUGAUGAGAGCCUUACAUUUUUCUCUAGAUACUUAAAUUGUUGUGAGACCAGACAUAAUCAGAAAGCUAGAAACGAUGGUGGCACCAACCAAGUUGGAAAUGAUGAUGACUCUCAAGAUAUGCUGCCAUACUUCUCCAAGAAUGUUGGUAGAGCUUUGGUUGGCAAUUGUAAUGUGACCUUAGACCACAAAUCUUGGCUUCAAGCUCACAACUAUGUCUUAUAUAAUUCUAACCAUAUGGAACCUUUCCUCAAAAAGCACUUUGGAUACCUUUCCUCUCUUGGACAUCAAUCUAGACAACGUAUACAUCAUGAAACAUUCCAUGAGUGGUUGCGAAUUCAUGUUCUUGGGUUACUUAGAAGUGGUGAACAUAUUGAGGAAGAAGUAAUAGCCCUAGCUGCAGGCCUUUUAAUGGUUGCCAAGAAGUAUAAUAGCUAUGUCAUAAAUGGAUAUGUUUUCCACACAGAAUCAUAUGAUCAGGGUAGACCCGGGUAAAGCUAUGGAGUAGCUUUAGUUGGACAAACUGUGAGCAUUUCUGGACAUACUCAAACUAAGGCAUAUUAUGGUGUUAUUACUGGAAUCUUAGAAUUGACCUAUCAUCAGAAAGGAAACAUUGUGCUUUUUAAAUGUGGUUGGUUUGACAACAGAGUACAAGGUAAAUGGGUGAAGACUGAUAAGUUUGGUGUAACUAGUGUACACAUGGCACACAUUAUCAGCACCGGUGAAAAGCCCAUGGAUGAACCUUUCAUUUUAUCAUCGCAAGCAUGCCAAGUUUAUUAUGUUCCUGAUAAACAAAAUAAAGAUUGGUCCGCUGUAAGGGUCUCACCGCCACGUGACCUUUAUGACAUUGAUGAAGUGAGAAAUCAACAUCUGGAGUAUUUAUUGCAGGAACCGGUUAUUCCUAUAAAUUUAAAUGCAAAUUUUAAGGUUCUUGGUGAUGAUAUCUUGGUUAGAAAUGAUACAACUAAAUCAAAUGAGAAGAGGAAGGGGGGGGAUGUCAAAAAGAGGAAGAGAGGAUGAAGUAUAUGCCAAACAGUAUGAGGACUUGAGGGCUGCAAAUAUUAGAGAUAAUCGUAGUAGGAUGGAAGAUAUGGCACUAAGAUCAAAAAAGGAUGCUGUGAAUAUAGAAUCCAUCCUUCAUCCUGAAUUGCUUGAAAGACCAAUAGAGAAAGGCGAUCUAUUUGCCCAUGUAUUUGGUCGUGAACCAAGGGGAUAUGUACGUGGAGUUGGUUUAGGACCAACUCCUGCUACUCUGGGCAUUGAUGGGUACCGCUCAUGUGCAUCCACAAGUGUACAGAUGGCAAUCCGUGCUAGCCAGAAAACACAAGAGCAAAACAUAUUGUUGAUGGGCGCUCUACAUCAACUAUUCGAUGAGGUCAGAGAACUUAGGGAAAUAGUGAAAGGUGGCGAAGGACAGGAAGAGACACUUGAUGAUGAUGCAACAGAUCGUGCGUCCUCUCCUACACUGGAACAUGGAUCUAAUCCUUCACCAACCACUCAUAUGAGAGGAGUUUCUAGUGAUUAUGGUGAUCAUAAUGUGCAUGAUGACAUGAUGAACAAUCAUGAUGCUGAUGUGGUAUGAUUUCGACCAUGUUAACGAUGAAUGAAUUGAUCUAUGCAAAUGUUAAUGAAUCGUGACCUGCUGAUGAAUUAUCUCAUGCAAAUGAUCAUGGUGCCUAUGAGAGGAAGAGCUCCACUCCAACCCACUAGAGGACACGAGGGGGUAUGUAACUCCACCCCAAGGCUCCACCCUAUUCAUGGUUGUAUAAUGUAUGAUUCUGUAGUGAAGUAUAACAUUGUUCCAUUUCUA